AUACGGAGGAUGCGAGCGUUAAUCGGAAUUACUGGGCGUAAAGCGUGCGUAGGCGGUUUGCUAAGUCAGAUGUGAAAGCCCCGGGCUUAACCUGGGAACUGCAUUUGAUACUGGCAGACUAGAGUAUGAUAGAGGGGGGUAGAAUUCCUGGUGUAGCGGUGAAAUGCGUAGAUAUCAGGAGGAAUACCAGUGGCGAAGGCGGCCCCCUGGAUCAAUACUGACGCUGAGGUACGAAAGCGUGGGGAGCGAACAGGAUUAGAUACCCUAGUAGUCC
rnacentral:rRNA from 1 species